GAAUGUUUAACACUACACAGUUAUAAAAUAGCACUGCUAGUGUUGCCUGUGACUUAUUUACGUUGUCAGAUCAGAGUGUUAACCUUUUUCAUGCAGCCUACAAUGUUAAGGCAGAUGUAAACCACGCCCUCACGUAACGGCUGUCAAGGACAUAGCCAAGACCAAAAAACUUUCUCCUGCGCCAUUUUCUUUCACGAGGGGAAUACGCAAGAAGAAAUGCUGGUUCAAGUGAAGGGCAAGGGCAUCCUGAAAUGGGUUUUAAUACCAAUGAAGGAUGACAGCUAUGAUUACUUUCAGUUCAUUCAAGAGGUGGGGACGAGCAUGGUGCCAUUCCUUGACAGAGUUGGAUCAGCACAGCCUUUCCUCUGUGUUGGAGAAAAAAAGAGUAGCAUCCAGUGGUUUACACCAUUCCCUGCGUGGUGCACACAGGUGUGGCUGCCUUUGGCAAACUGUUUAAGGCCCACUUUGUCUCUGCCAUAUCCCAUGAUGAGGCCUUGUGCAAUUUCUUCACCUUCAUUCAGACUACCGUUUAUGGGAUUGACGUCGGCACUGCAAAAGAGUCCACGGGUCAAGGAAAUCUGGGCAAAAUUGAUCAUAUUGAAGUUUGAAAAUGUUCACCUGUUACAUUUGCAAGGUACAGCACAAAAGUUGCUCUGUUCUUUUUCAACAUUUGAAGUUUAGUCAUGCUUCGUACCCAGGACGUAAAUUGCUUUUGAAAUGUGGCGAGAAUGGGUGUUCUUCUGUUUUUUUGCACGUAUUUUGGACUUAAAAUACAAUUGAGAGUACAUGGAGACUGUGUCGCUUCAAGUUCUGUUAAUCCUUUGGACAAUGUUGACAGUAAUGUUAGUGUUCCUGAUCCACUGCCAAGUGCAGUUUCUUUGGUCAGUUACCCAGCUCCUCUUGAAAAAAGACAGUUACUGGAUAUGUGUAGUUCUACAAGCAUCGGGAGUCUCUGAAAGUACUGUGCAGU